CCUACGGGCGGCAGCAGUGAGGAAUAUUGGUCAAUGGACGAGAGUCUGAACCAGCCAAGUAGCGUGAAGGAUGACUGCCCUAUGGGUUGUAAACUUCUUUUAUAUGGGAAUAAAAUGUUCCACGUGUGGGAUUUUGUAUGUACCAUAUGAAUAAGGAUCGGCUAACUCCGUGCCAGCAGCCGCGGUAAUACGGAGGAUCCGAGCGUUAUCCGGAUUUAUUGGGUUUAAAGGGAGCGUAGGUGGAUUGUUAAGUCAGUUGUGAAAGUUUGCGGCUCAACCGUAAAAUUGCAGUUGAAACUGGCAGUCUUGAGUACAGGAGAGGUGGGCGGAAUUCGUGGUGUAGCGGUGAAAUGCUUAGAUAUCACGAAGAACUUCGAUUGCGAAGGCAGUUCACUGGACUGCAACUGACACUGAGGCUCGAAAGUGUGGGUAUCAAACAGGAUUAGAUACCCGGGUAGUC
rnacentral:rRNA from 1 species